rnacentral:precursor_RNA from 12 species
UAUCGGUCGACCGGCCGCCGGUGGACUGUGAUAUUGUCCUGUCACAGCAGUACUGAUCACAAGAGCCUACUGCUGUUUCGGGACAUAGCCACAGACCCUGGUAAAAUCGACGACGCAGGGA